AACUCCUUAGUUCUGUGUUUGAUGGUCAGGGUUUGUAGAUUGUCCUUUAUGUAAUCAGUUCACUUGUUUUUUCGAGUCUUUGUUUCAAGAAGGAUAAGCGGAAUCUUCUACCUAGUCAGCCAUCUUGGUCCUGCCCCCGUGUCUGCCUCUUUAUGUGAUUUGAUAUUGACUGUUGUCUCUGAGCCAUCUAUAAGUUAUUGUAUUAGUUUAUUUUAUGCUUGCUUUUUGUAUCCUAGAUUCUUGCUUUGUUUAGUUUUGGUAUUCCCAAAUAAGCUGCUUGAGUGCGCUAGGUUGAUUAUUUUCACCUUUGAAGCUCUAAUGUACUAUCACCAGAUGGCUAGCACUGUUACCAGGCAUAUGAGCCUAGGAGUUCAUUUACUUUUCUUGUAUGGAUUCAACUCAGGUGCCCAGGUAGUUGGUCAUAAAGUGUAAGGUACAGGCUCUGUCCUACAGUCUUAGAGGGGCAGGGGUUAUUGGUGUAGGCAGAAGUAUCUGGCUGCAGUAGGGGGUCCGAGUCUGAUCAAGGCAGGGGUCUGACAGCUGUGCUCUGAGUGUCUGUGAGGAAAGUGCAUCCCUGUUCUGUAGAGCACACGGGUGGGUUCUGCAGAAGGGCGAUGGGUACCCAAUGCUUUUGGUUGUAAGUUCUGGGCGGUACUACUUAUCCUUGGAGCCCUGUCACAGGUGGCCAGGUAUUGUGGGUGGAGCCAGCAGUCCUUAGGCCCCUGAUGUGGGUAGGUGAAGACCCUGUUUAAUAGGCAAAGCAGUGUCAAACAUCAAACACCCAUCUUUCCACCGUUCAGCUGAAACAGUUGCAGUCUGGCAACAAGGGCGUAUUCUCCUGAAAUGGGCCCACACAGGUCCAUGCUGGGGUGAAAGGUAUUCAAAGCCCAUGGACCGUUUGUGCCUGAACAAGAGCUACUUCUGUCCUGAGCUCCCCAGCUUAAUUGAGCUGGCAGAUUAUCUUUCCCUCAGUUGUGAACUUAUACCUUCUUCAAGGAUGGAGAAAUGGCUCAGAGUGGUACCAGGGCCUAUCUCAGGCCCAGGGAAGUUGACAGCCACUGAAGCCGGCUUGGGGGCUGGGGGCGUGGUAAAAUAAACACAAGUAAUUAGCUUUUGCCGAGAGUGCCGUUCUUCUCUUGUUCUGGAGGUGUGAGUAGUCUGUGCAACUUGCUGUCCUUCCCUGAGCUAAACGCCUGUGGAACGCCACUGCCAGCCCCACUGCAGUCGCUCCAGGGAACGGUGCCUGAGGGUUCCUGGCUGUUCAGGUCCAGUAACUCCUCUCCACUUCUGAAUAGUCUCUCCCUCCCCCUGCCGCUCAGUCCGUUUUCUAACUUUACCUUUGAUGUUCAGGGCUCCUAGCUUGUCAUAAAUAUAAUCGCUUCACUUGUUUUUUCUGGUCUUUUUUGUAAGAGGGAUCACUGGUGGCGUCUCAAUACUCAAAACUUGAUCAUUUCUUCCUUUCACUUUAGCUACUCGACAUUCAAGAGCAACGUUCAGAGUCUCUUCCGACAUCCGUUUUGGUCUUUUCUUUCUUUCCUGUCUUUUAAAGGAUCUCUUGCUUUCCUCAUGUGUGAUGUCCUUGAUGUCAUUCCACAACUCGUCUGGUCUUCAGUCGUUAGUGUUCAACACGUAAAAUGUGUUCUUGAGGUGGUCUCUAAAUACAGGUGAGAUAUACUCAAGGUCAUACUUUGGCCCUUUUUGACUUAUUCUACUUUUCUUCAGUUUCAACUUGAACUUCCAUGUGAGCAAUUGACAGUCUGUUUCACAAUCGAUCCCUGGCCUUGUUCCGACUGAUGAUAUGAGUUUUCCCAUCUUCUCUUUCCACAGAUGUAGUCAGUUUGAUUCCUGUGUAUUCCAUCUGGUAAAGUCCACGUGUAUAGUUGCCGUUUAUGUUGGUGAAAAAAAAUAUUUGCAGUGGAUGAGUCACUGGUCUUGCAAAAUUCUUUCAUGAGAUUUCUGGCGUCAUUUAUUUCAGCGAUGCUGUAUUUUCCAACUACUUUUCCUUCUUUGUUUCCAACUUUAACAUUCUAAUCACCAGUAAUUAUCAAUGCAUCUUGAUUGCAUGUUUGAUCAAUUUCAGGCUGCAGAAGUUGUUUAAAAUCUUCAAUUUCUUUAUCUUUGGCAUUAGUGGUUGGUGCAUAAAUUUGAAUAGUCAUAUAAACUAGUCUUUCUUGUAAGUGUAUGGAUUUUAGCCUAUCAGUGACAACAUUGUACUUCAGGCUAGAUCUUGAAAUGUUCUCUUUGAUGAUAUGUAACAUCAUUCUUUUGACUCUGGUGGAAUAUCCGUGUUUGUAAGACUGCUCACAGACUGUUUCACCAGAGAGUUUUCUGGUACUGCAACAUCUACCACUAAUGUCUGUGAUCCCUUUAAAUUGGCAAAAUAAGAAUAGUGCUAUAGAUUUCUUCCAAAUACAGAAAACAUAAGUAUGAAAAUGUUCUUGCUGUUGAUUAUAUUCUUUACCAAUCUGUUUGUAUGGGAUUUUUGGUACUUCACUUGAAAAAUGAGUCCAAGGUACUGUGAUGUGAUUGUUUACUUUGUGUGGCCUUUCUAGCCAUGGUCUUAUAACAUCCACCCUGGUGCUUGGGCAGGACUGUGUGAUAGGGUAAUUGUGGCUCACCAAGGGGAUUGUUUAUUUUCCCUUCAAAGAGAACCAGUUCCAGAGCAAAGAGGAGGAUUCAACUCCCAUCAAGGAAGAACAGCCAAGAGCCGAGCGUAUAUUAUGGACCUGAGAUCCCUGCACUGAGAAGCUCCUAGAAGCAGGAGACUGAGAUAGAGAGAGGAAGCUGUAACCCUGAAGAUGCUUAAAUACAGACCAGAAGAGGAGUUUGGGGCUUGACACCUGACAUCUUAACACCAGUUCCUGUUUCUUGAGGAAGGAAGAGGUAAAAUAAAUCAGCGUUUACUGUUUCCUUCUCCAUCCCCGGAAGUCCUGAUGAAGACCCUCUCAGAGAUGCAGCACACACAGAAUCCCAGCUGGAUUACAGACUUGAACCUGAAGACCUUAUGCAGAAUGACAAUUUAUGAACCACUAAGCUCAGUACUAAAGCAGCUUCAACUUGAACGUGAAUAUGAGCAACUGAUCAUCUGUUCUGCAGUCAGCCCCUGGCCUGAUUCUGACUCAUGAUAUUGACCAAGUGAAGAGUGAUUCAGAGAAAAACAUGGGUAGAGUGUGACCUAAUUUCCAUAAAAACAAACAAAUGAAUGUACUUACAUGUGUCCCGGCAAAAAGAAGUGUGUAAAAGGGUACAUAUGUAUCUUUGGACACUGGACACUUCAGGGGAGCAGGUACAAUAUACUUAUGUGGGGAUGGCUCUUAUUAUAACUUCUAUAUACAAAUCUCUAUUGUUAAAUGUGUUAUAAGAAUGUAAAAGCUUUUAAAGUUUAAUAACAUCAUACAUGUAUGUGUGUGUAUUUGAAACUUUUUUUCUUUUGACUAUUUCAUAUAUGUGUUUUUUAGUUAUCUAGUUUUUUUUUUAGUGUGGCUAUAGCAGAGAUACCACAAGUGGAUGCCUUUAACAAACAGAAACUUAUUCUCUCACAGUUUAAGAAGCAACAAGUUUGAAGUCAGGGCACCAGGUCUAGGAGAAAGCUUUCUCUGUUUGUGGCUCUGGGGGAAGGUCCUUGUCAUUUAUCUUCCCCUGGCCUAGGAAAUUCUCAGCGCGUGGACACUGGGUCAAAAAGACGUGCUCCACUCCAGGCACUUCUUCCUUGGUAGUAUGAGGUCCCUCUCAUUUCUGCUGACUCUUCUCUUUGUAUCUCAAAAGAGACUGACUCAAGACUCACCCUAAUCCUGUAGAUUGUGUCCUCCCUCAUUAACCUAACUGCCUCUAAUCCCGCCUUAUUAACAUCACAGAGGUUAGAAUUUACAACACAUAAGUAAUCACAUCAGAUCACAAAAUGCAGGACAACCACACAAUACUGGGAAUCAUGGUCUGGCCAGGUUGACACACAUUUUGGGGGACACUAUUCAAUCCAUAACAAUAGAGAAAACACUGUCUUCAAUGCCAGAUUCAGAGACUUUUAUCAAUCUAUGAAGGGCAAACACAGAUAUUGAACAAAAUUCAGACCAGCGAAUUAUUGCUUGCUCUUGUAACUAAUGACUUCUUCUGGUCUCUGUACCUGGAAAUGGCCAAAAAGAAUUCUGUGAGGAUUAAUUCAGUUAUUGCUAAAACAUCUACUGCAUUUACAUGUCUACAGAUAAGGAAGAAUGCUGGACACCAUGUGUGAUUCAUUAAGUAACACAGGGACUAUUAGACUGUUGUUUUCCUUCUCUGAUAUGCCACUAUCACCUUCUCCCCUUGUUGCUCUCCUGAAAAACCCACACUUGUAUAUUCUAGGCUUUUUUCCAGGAUUGAAUUUGCAGGAAGUUGAAGAUAUAUCUUUGAAAGAUAAAAAAGACUUUGGCCACAUUGUCUUUAGACAGUCGAACUUCCCAGCCAGCCUCUGUGCAGGAUGGGAAUUCACAAUCCCUCCUACUCAGUACCUCUGAGCAGGACGGGAUUUCUGUUUCAUUAUCAGGAGACUGUGGAAUUCACCCCUCUUCAGAAAACUUACUUUCCUUUGCCUCAAACUGUCCCUCUCAGGAUCUGUCACGGUCAC